UACGGAGGAUGCAAGCGUUAUCCGGAAUUAUUGGGCGUAAAGCGUCCGUAGGUGGCUUUACAAGUCAGCUGUUAAAGCGUGGAGCUUAACUCCAAAAAGGCAGUUGAAACUGUGAGGCUAGAGUGCGGUAGGGGUAAGGGGAAUUCCCAGUGUAGCGGUGAAAUGCGUAGAUAUUGGGAAGAACACCGGUGGCGAAAGCGCCUUGCUGGACCGGCACUGACACUGAGGGACGAAAGCUAGGGGAGCGAAAGGG
rnacentral:rRNA from 1 species